UUUCAUAACUAGUUUUUUACUGUAUCACAAAGAAUAUUACAUCAAUUUCUUGUGUCGGCGCACAUUAUUUCAGCUCGUGAAAAAAGUCAAAGCCAAACCGUUUCGCUUAAGAAAAGGUCCAAUUUUUGAAAACCAAACUAAACUUUUUGUCAGAAACUAAAAAACCUCAAGGUAAGUUUUUUAAAAAAAUCAAUUCAAACUUAUUAAUAAGCUUUAAAUAAAUAAGUUUAUUCUUUGUCAGACAUUAUAAUCCAUUUUUUCGAAGUAUCUUUUCCUUUUCUGAAAUACAACAUAUAACAAAGGGCUGCCAAUGGCAGUUUACAAAGGGGCAGUUAUGGACAGUUUCUACCAUGUGCCAUGCAUAUGUCUUAACUAAAAUAAGGAGCAAAAUAUGUUUGAAUUCGAACUCCAAACCUUUCCCACGAAAUGGCCUUAUCUUCAGUUCUUUGUAGCCAACAGCACAUGUG
rnacentral:lncRNA from 1 species